UAAAAAAUAUUAGCAAAAGCUAUAAUAGUAUGUCAGUGAUACUAAAAUAACACUGGUUAUCAUCAAAUAUGUCCAUUUUUCAAAAGGCAUAAUUAGUCAAAAUGAAUAAUUUUGUCAUAAAAUUGUGUUGAACGAAAAUGCUUUAUAUUGUGACUGUGUAAAUUUUCUUUAAAUUGCAAGUAAGUAAAUUCAGCUUCCUGUGUGUUGUGGCCAAUUCAAUUCAAAUUCACAUUCAUGAAUAAAGAGAGUGUUUUCUUUCACUCUGAAUUUCUCUUAAACCAGGUUUUCUUUCUCCCGGAGCAUGAAGUGAGUUGUUUGACGUGACUCCAUCAAUCUAGACGUCACAGAUUGAGUUUCAGAGAGUAGACGUCUGAAACACCCCCCACAAAAGACUUCCAGCCCUUCUGUCACUCAACGCAAUGACUUCUGGAAUUUCAGCGAGACGAGAGAGAGACGCUGCAGACUUCAUCCUGCAGUCACACUGGGAAAAGCAAACAGAAGAGAAAAGAACAGCGCAAAAAUAAAGAAGCCUGUUUUAAAUCAUGAAACAUUUGUCGUGGAUCAGCGCUCUGUCAUUUCUGCUUUAUUUCUCCUCAGGAUCUGCAGACCACAGGUGUCUUAGAGAUGAGAAUGGCCGAUAUAAAGCCGAUAUUUAAGGUAUCACACUAUUUCGUUUAAAAAUAGUACAAAUAACAUUCAUAACGAAUGCUGAAAUUAAUUUAUAUAUUUUUUACAUAAUACUCCCUAUAUUAGAAAUUGAUUAUUUUCACCAGUUUCCAAGGUUUGUGAAAUUGAAUGAUUAUUAGAUAUUCAUAGACUUGUUUAAGUGAUAUAAAUCUGUAUGUGCUGAAUCCUGUAGAUGAGAAAACAUUAGUGUUUAGUACUGAUCUACUACUAAUAAUGAAGCAAAUACUGCUUAUUUUUACAAAUAUAAUCUGUAAUACUUUUUCAUAUACUGUUUACUUUGUUUAACAGUUCUGUUUAAUAAUUUUAUUGCAGAAACAGUCAACUAAAGAAGAUGGAGAAUGGAAGAACAAUAAAUAAAUAAAUAAAUAAAUAAAUAAAGUCCUC
ensembl:lncRNA